UCCCGUCUGAUCUGUGGAACAGGUACUUUGCUUUCCGUUUCGGUGGGUACAGCCGUACAGGCAUAUGCCAGUGUCUUCUCUCUCUCUCUUGAGCGGUGCUCAUUUGGAAGCUGGGGUCUUGUGCGUGGGGGGAAGGAGCGUCGGCGGUGAGCCACCAUGGAGUUUCUGAUGAAGCCAAUCAGCAGAUCCAAUCUAAUGGAGGAAGUAGGGGAGAGAUUGGUGCCGGUCACUGGCGCCAGCGCCCGCCGGAGCCGCUACGGUGGAGCAGUAUGUGGUGGUGGAGCAGCAACAACUAGCGGUGGACAGCGCUGACGCUCAGAUUUUCACAUCCAGGGAAGCGUCGGCGGACCGGAGGGACAGCUCGUCUCCGAAGUCGUAGCUGUCAACUGGGAAGAUGAAUCCACUAUCGCCUGGGUGGAACAAGAGGACAACAUAGAAGAUAUCAGUUAAGUGCAAAAUAAUAGAACUGCAAAUGAUGCACCUAGUACCAUUGGGGAAGAACAUGGAAUUGAAGCACCAGCAAGCACAAACAAUGUCUCCUGUCGAUCCUUCUGCUGUCACAGCGACAAACAUGGCAGAAUAGAUGAGUGGAGGUACUCGUCAGACAAACUCUCGCCGGCUCAGCGCUACAGAAAAAGGAAAGAAGCCACUAGUUGAGGAUCUGAAAUGGAAUCAUCCGACAGUGAUGAAAACGAGCGGGCACGGGUUGCUCGGCACUCAAGGAACACUGCACGCCACCUCACGCCACCUAAGAAGACAAGGACAUGUAGUGCGGAGACCCGCAACAGUUCGAGCCAAUGGUAUGGCAAGGCAUGUCAGAGAAAGCCGCACUGGUGUGGGGCAUACGACAGGUAUUUCAGAUCAAAUUGAUGGUAUACGACAUGAGAUUAUGGUGAUGCAUGUUACUGCUGGAGGAUGCCACACCUAACAAUGGAGUUGAGACGUAGCUCUAAAACGGGAGGAGGAUGCCACACCUAACAAUGGAGUUGGGACGGAGUAUCAUGAGGAUGCAGAAAGGAAGGCGAGGGAUCAGGAAGAAAUGGGUGUAGAGCUUGCGGGGAUGUACUAGGAACAGAUGGAACAGAAGGCAAGGGAGCAAGUGGAGAACCAUAAUUUACCAAGAGUUGUACGACCAAAAUGACAAGCUUGGGCGUUGGGCAGAAUGAUCGAAUCACAUAAUCAAUCAUUGGAGGGCCAAGCGACAUUAGGGCAAUUGCCUGUUCUGGAAGGCAAAGCAAUGUUAAGCGGUCUAAGAGCCAGAAGGGACACAAGAGGUCAAAAGGAGGAAGGAAUAAGAAGAGCACGAGAGUUCAGUUCUCAAACACUGUUAAGACAAUCUGUCCAAUCGAAAGCUCCGAGAGCGAUGACACAAGCAGCAAUGACGACAACAUCGCUAGUGGUGAAGACAAAUGGUGGUCGUGCAUGCGAAAGGCUUAUGAAGAACUGAGGGGAUGAUAUGUCGGUGGACAGAACAGGGUGCAAGCGGAUGUAGGGCGAGUUGACGCGGCUGAUGUAGUCGUGCCCACGAUUCCAUCAAUCAGGACUGAUGCCAGUGGAUCUGUUCCUGAAAACCAUGAAAUAACAUUGCAAGCAGAGGCAGACGAGCUUCCAGAAACUAUUGGGACACUGCAUUGUCAUGAAAACAACGAUGGAUACACUUUCAUGUGUACAACAGAAGUUGGCGGAACCUCAAGGCCAAGGAGUAGAGGCAGAAGUUGGCGGAAGCUCAAGGCAAAGAGUAGAGCGUGCAAACGCAAGUCUUGAAGUUUGUUGCAGUGGGAGCACAAGGUCGUCGGGUUGAGGUGCAGAACACUAGGGUUCAAGGCUCUAGUAGGAGAACAUGUAUGUUUCUUCGGUUAUGUAUGCAUAGCUAACAAAUAAGUUAAGCAUUACAUGGUAUGGAGCGUAAACAGUUUUGAUUGUUGACAACAAAUAUUGUUGAUUGUACAACACGAGUGUUUGAUAGUUAUAGAAUGGCAAGGAAUCUGAAGUUGCCAGUGGGGAUGGUAAGGAUUGAGGUGAAAGGGGAGAUGGGUAAUCAGUUUCCUAGGAAAGUCAGACUUAAGCAUGAUAUACCAACUGCUCGAAAUGGUCUCCGCUUCUAUGGCAAUAUGUUGCGCUGUACAAAGGAGUGAUCGUGACAAGUGAGUAACUCCGCCGUAUUUUAUUUUGCUAUAUGGGAUUAAUUUGGAUGAAAGCCCAUAUGGCUACAAUCCUAGCGAAUGUGAUGGUCAAACCUUGCGAAGGGUGGCUGCGUGGGCCAGUCUGACGGCAGCCUGUUGGUGCCUAACAUCUGAGCCGUGGCCCAUGGCGUAGCGCAGCGUCUGAGCCGCCUGGCUGGGGAUGACGGCCGUUGCAUUAAAUUGGGUGGUUGAGUGGGGCCACGAUCUGGAAAAAAGCCGCACAUACAUCAGCGAAUACAGAUUAAAAUACUCUAGGUGGUGCGAAUCUGAGCGCGACCCGACGUCUGAGAUAUCGAGCUCAUCUGAGCACGAGCUCAGAAUGGCACUUUCGGCAUCAUUGUUGUACACAGACAAACGUAGUCUGAAGGAUGGCAUGUCAUCUUGGAUUGAUAAUAUUUAAGUUUUCCUUUCUUUUCCGUUUAUUAUGUACCCCUAGAGUAUCUCUGGUUGUUCCCCCAUCAACCAUUGUAAAACUAUUCUAUGUUAUCCUUUAUUAAUGAAAAAUGACACACAGUAGGGCUUUUGCCUUACUG